AGGACGAACGCUGGCGGCGUGCCUAACACAUGCAAGUCGAACGGGACCAGGGCAACUCUGGUUCAGUGGCGGACGGGUGCGUAACACGUGAGGAACAUGACCUUCGGCGGGGGAUAGCCGGCCCAACGGCCGGGUAAUACCGCGUACGACCUUUCGGGACAUCCCUGGAAGGUGAAAGCAGCAAUGCGCCGAUGGAGUCGCCUCGCGGCCUAUCAGCUAGUGGUGAGGUACGCUCACAAGGCGACGACGGUAGCUGGUCUGAGAGGAGUGGCCAGCCACGAGUUGGGACUGACGACGACCGGCCCAGACCUCCGUAACGGGACGGCAGGCAGGUAGGGGAAUAGUGCGACAAGUAGGAACGAAAGUCGU
rnacentral:rRNA from 1 species